GGGCUGAUGGUGGUGUGGGCAACCUCUUAAGUAUUCCCCAUAUCUCUCCCAUGCUUGGGGAAGAGAUUCAAGAUCUUUUUAAACAAAUUCAGAAAUCUUGCCUCUAAGCUC
rfam:Capsicum annuum cultivar Zunla-1 chromosome 10, whole genome shotgun sequence